GGAUGAGCCCGCGGCCUAUCAGCUUGUUGGUGGGGUAAUGGCCUACCAAGGCGACGACGGGUAGCGGGCCUGAGAGGGCGACCGGCCACACUGGGACUGAGACACGGCCCAGACUCCUACGGGAGGCAGCAGUGGGGAAUAUUGCACAAUGGGCGAAAGCCUGAUGCAGCGACGCCGCGUGAGGUAUGACGGCCUUCGGGUUGUAAACCUCUUUCAGCAGGAAAGAAGCGAAAGUGACGUACCUGCAGAAGAAGCCC
rnacentral:rRNA from 1 species